UAUAUUUUUUUUAAAAAUUAAAUAUGAUAAAUUUAUUUUAAUAAUAAAAAAAAUUUUUCAGUUUUAGUAAAUUUUAUUAAUAAAAUUUUAUUUUAAAUUCUGAGAAGAAAUAUUAUUUAUAUAUUAAAAAGUAUAAUGAUUUUUGUACCUUUUGUAUCAGGGUAAAUUAAGUAUAAAUAUAAAUUAUAUGUCUCCCGAAAUAUGAUGAAUUAAAAUAAUUUGUAAUUUAUUGUUAUAAAAAUAUUUAAAAAAUUGUUUUAGAAAUGAAAUUUUAUCGAAUUAUAUGAUAUCUGGUUUUUUAAGAAAUGAAUUUAAUUCAGGAUAAUUAUAUAAUUUAUAUUUUUAUAUAAAAUUACUUUAUUAUCUUAUUAUAAUAGGGAUUAGCCAAUUAUAAUUGUUUAUAUAAUUUUUUUAUAAUUUAAUUUGAUAAGCUUAAAAACAGCUAAAUUUAGAGUAAGUUAAAUUUUAUUAUUUAAUUAUAUGUAUUUAAAUAUAUAAUUAUUAAAUUUUUAUUUUUAAACUUAAUAUAAUAAAUUAUUAUAUUUAAUAUGAUUUUAUUAGUAUAAUUAUUAUAAAUUUAAUUUAUGAAUUAGGCAAUAUUAAUUUUCACCUGUUUAUCAAAAACAUGUCUUUUAGAAAAAAAUUGAAGGUCUAAUCUGCCCAAUGAUAAUUUAAUGGCCGCGGUAAACUGACCGUGCAAAGGUAGCAUAAUAACUAGUCUUUUAAUUGAAGGCUUGAAUGAAUGAUUAAAUGAAAAAUUGACUUUAUUAAUACAAAUUAUUAUAACUUAAUUUUUAAGUCAAAAAGCUUAGAUUCUUAAGUAGGACGAGAAGACCCUAUAGAGUUUAAAAAUAAUUUUAUUAAUUUAAUUUUAGUAUUUUUAUUUAAGUUAAUAAUAUUAUUUUUUUGUUGGGGUGACACUAUAAAAUAUAUAACUUAUGGUUUAUGAAACAUUUAUGUAUGUAUUAAUGAUCCAUUAAUUUAAAAUAAUGAUUAUAAGAAUAAAUUACCUUAGGGAUAACAGCGUUAUUAUCUUUUAGAGUUCAUAUUAAUAAGGUAGUUUGCGACCUCGAUGUUGGAUUAAGAAUAUAGUUUGGAGCAAAAACUAAACUUUUAGGUCUGUUCGACCUUUAAAUUCUUACAUGAUCUGAGUUCAGACCGGUGUAAACCAGGUCGGUUUCUAUCCACUUUAUUUUUAAUAAUAUUAGUACGAAAGGACCAUAUUAAUUAACUUAUAUUAU
rnacentral:rRNA from 1 species